rnacentral:rRNA from 1 species
CACGUAGCGGAGGAAGAACCAACAGGGAUUGCCCUAGUAACGGCGAGUGAAGCGGCAACAGCUCAAAUUUGAAAGCUGGCCUUCGGGUCCGCGUUGUAAUUUGCAGAGGAAGCUUUGGGCGCGGCGCUGUCUGAGUCCCCUGGAACGGGGCGCCAAAGAGGGUGAGAGCCCCGUAUAGACGGAUGCCUAGCCUGUGUAAAGCUCCUUCGACGAGUCGAGUAGUUUGGGAAUGCUGCUCAAAAUGGGAGGUAAAUUUCUUCUAAAGCUAAAUACCGGCCAGAGACCGAUAGCGCACAAGUAGAGUGAUCGAAAGAUGAAAAGCACUUUGAAAAGAGGGUUAAAUAGCACGUGAAAUUGUUGAAAGGGAAGCGCUUGUGACCAGACUUGCGCCGGGCUGAUCAUCCGGUGUUCUCACCGGUGCACUCUGCCCGGCUCAGGCCAGCAUCGGUUCUCGCGGGGGGAUAAAGGCUUAGGGAAUGUAGCUCCUCCGGGAGUGUUAUAGCCCUCUGCGUAAUACCCUCGCGGGGACCGAGGUCUGCGCUCUGCAAGGAUGCUGGCGUAAUGGUCAUCAGCGACCCUUCUUGAAACGGGGU